rnacentral:rRNA from 1 species
CGCUGGCGGCAUGCUUUACACAUGCAAGUCGAACGGUAACAGGCCGCAAGGUGCUGACGAGUGGCGAACGGGUGAGUAAUGCAUCGGAACGUGCCCAGUCGUGGGGGAUAACGCAGCGAAAGCUGCGCUAAUACCGCAUACGAUCUAUGGAUGAAAGCGGGGGACCGUAAGGCCUCGCGCGAUUGGAGCGGCCGAUGUCAGAUUAGGUAGUUGGUGGGGUAAAGGCUCACCAAGCCAACGAUCUGUAGCUGGUCUGAGAGGACGACCAGCCACACUGGGACUGAGACACGGCCCAGACUCCUACGGGAGGCAGCAGUGGGGAAUUUUGGACAAUGGGCGCAAGCCUGAUCCAGCAAUGCCGCGUGCAGGAAGAAGGCCUUCGGGUUGUAAACUGCUUUUGUACGGAACGAAAAGGCUCUGGUUAAUACCUGGGGCACAUGACGGUACCGUAAGAAUAAGCACCGGCUAACUA